rnacentral:rRNA from 1 species
AUUGAACGCUGGCGGAAUGCUUUACACAUGCAAGUCGAACGGCAGCACGGACUUCGGUCUGGUGGCGAGUGGCGAACGGGUGAGUAAUGUAUCGGAACGUGCCCAGUCGUGGGGGAUAACGUAGUGAAAAUUACGCUAAUACCGCAUACGAUCUAUGGAUGAAAGCGGGGGAUCGCAAGACCUCGCGCGAUUGGAGCGGCCGAUAUCAGAUUAGGUAGUUGGUGGGGUAAAGGCCCACCAAGCCAACGAUCUGUAGCUGGUCUGAGAGGACGACCAGCAACACGGGAACUGAGACACGGUCAAGACUCCUACGGGAGGCAGCAUGGGGGAAUUUUGGACAAUGGGCGAAAGCCUGAUCCAGCCAUUCCGCGUGCAGGAUGAAGGCCCUCGGGUUGUAAACUGCUUUUGUACAGAACGAAAAGGUUUCCACUAAUACUAGGAGCUCAUGACGGUACUGUAAGAAUAAGCACCGGCUAACUACGUGCCAGCAGCCGCCGUAA